UGCAUGAGUCGAUGUUGUUAGUUUUAAUUACCAUUUGUUGUUGACGUUGUUAAUGAUGAUAUAUUUAUAUAUUGAUGAAUUAUUAUUAUGAUAGGGUGUUAGAUUCAAUUGAUGAAUUUAUUAUCUAUAAUUAUUGUUGUGAAUCUCUCCCCUUCUGCUUGAAAAUGUUGCCCUUCCUAUGGGUAACUUGCAGGUGAUCCUGAGUAGUAGGUGGUGGCUCAAGUGUCUAGGGCUCUGAUACGUACGAGAUGGGAUUUUAAUGUGUACUUUCAUUCCUAUGUAUCAAAUUUUGGAACUUGAUGUUGUAGCCCUUUUUGGUUGUUGAAUUUAUGUUGUUGAGACUUUUAUGCCAAGAUUUAUUAUGGAGAACUAAACGGUUGUUGUUGAUGCUUUUAAUGCAAAUAUUCC
rnacentral:lncRNA from 1 species